rnacentral:rRNA from 1 species
UUGAACGCUGGCGGCAUGCUUACACAUGCAAGUCGAACGGGCUGAAGCGGGGCAACCCUCAUUAGUGGCGAACGGGUGAGUAAUAGCAUCGGAACAGUGUCCGCAGUAGCGGGGAUAACUCGGCGAAAGAGAGCUAAUACCGCAUACGACUCUAGCGGAGUGAAAGCGGAGGACCGCAAGGGCUUCGUGCCUAUUGGAGGGGCCGAUGUCGAUUAGCUAGUCGGCGGGGUAAAGGCCUACCAAGGCGACGAUCCGGUAGCUGGUCUGAGAGGACUGAUCAGCCACACUGGGACUGAGACACGGUCCCAGACUCCUACGGGAGGCAGCAGUGGGGAAUUUUGGACAAUGGGCGCAAGCCUGAUCCAGCCAUGCCGCGUGAGUGAAGAAGGCCUUCGGGUUGUAAAGCUCUUUCGGCGGGGACGAAAUGGUCCGUGCUAAUACCACGGACUGAUGACGGUACCCGAAGAAGAAGCACCGGCUAACUACGUGCCAGCAGCCGCGGUAAUACGUAGGGUGCAGGCGUUAAUCGGAAUUACUGGGCGUAAAGCGUGCGCAGGCGGUUUGCUAAGACAGGUGUGAAAUCCCCGGGCUUAACCUGGGAACUGCGCUUGUAACUGGCAAGCUAGAGUGUGGCAGAGGGGGGUGGAAUUCCAAGUGUAGCAGUGAAAUGCGUAGAUAUUUGGAGGAACACCGAUGGCGAAGGCAGCCCCCUGGGCUAACACUGACGCUCAUGCACGAAAGCGUGGGGAGCAAACAGGAUUAGAUACCCUGGUAGUCCACGCCCUAAACUAUGUCAACUGGUUGUCGGGGAAGCAAUUCCUUGGUAACGAGGCUAACGCGUGAAGUUGACCGCCUGGGGAGUACGGCCGCAAGGUUAAAACUCAAAGGAAUUGACGGGGACCCGCACAGGCGGUGGAUUAUGUGGAUUAAUUCGAUGCAACGCGAAAAACCUUACCUACCCUUGACAUGUACGGAACCUCGCAGAGAUGUGAGGGUGCCCGAAAGGGAACCGUAACACAGGUGCUGCAUGGCUGUCGUCAGCUCGUGUCGUGAGAUGUUGGGUUAAGUCCCGCAACAAGCGCAACCCUUGCCAUUAGUUGCUACAUUCAGUUGGGCACUCUAAUGGGACUGCCGGUGACAAACCGGAGGAAGGUGGGGAUGACGUCAAGUCCUCAUGGCCCUUAUGGGUAGGGCUUCACACGUAAUACAAUGGUAGGUACAGAGGGCAGCCAACCCGCGAGGGGGAGCUAAUCCCAGAAAGCCUAUCGUAGUCCGGAUUGUAGUCUGCAACUCGACUACAUGAAGCCGGAAUCGCUAGUAAUCGCGGAUCAGCAUGUCGCGGUGAAUACGUUCCCGGGUCUUGUACACACCGCCCGUCACACCAUGGGAGCGGGUUUCACCAGAAGUAGCUAGUCUAACCGCAAGGGGGACGGCUACCACGGUGAGAUUCGUGACUGGGGUG